CAAGUCGAACGCGAAAGUUUCCUUCGGGAGGCGAGUAGAGUGGCGCACGGGUGAGUAACACGUAGGUAAUCUACCUUUGGAUGGGGAAUAACAACCGGAAACGGUUGCUAAUACCGCAUAAUGCAGCGGCACCUAAUGGUGACAGUUGUUAAAGCGGGGGAUCGAAAGACCUCGCGUCUGAAGAGGAGCCUGCGGCGGAUUAGCUAGUUGGUAAGGUAAUGGCUUACCAAGGCGAUGAUCCGUAACCGGCCUGAGAGGGCGGUCGGUCACACUGACACUGACAUACGGGUCAGACUCCUACGGGAGGCAGCAGUNGGGAAUUUUGGGCAAUGGGCGAAAGCCUGACCCAGCAACACCGCGUGAAGGAUGAAAUCCCUCGGGAUGUAAACUUCGCAAGAACAGGAAGAAUAAGUAAGGGUUAAUAUCUCUUACGAUGACGGUACUGUUUGUAAGCUCCGGCUAACUCCGUGCCAGCAGCCGCGGUAAUACGGGGGGAGCAAGCGUUGUUCGGAUUUACUGGGCGUAAAGGGCGCGUAGGCGGCCACCGCAAGUCGGUUGUGAAAUCUCUGGGCUUAACCCAGAAAGGUCAACCGAUACUGCGAGGCUAGAGUGCAGAAGGGGCAACUGGAAUUCUCGGUGUAGCGGUGAAAUGCGUAGAUAUCGAGAGGAACACCUGCGGCGAAGGCGGGUUGCUGGGCUGACACUGACGCUGAAGCGCGAAAGCUAGGGGAGCGAACGGGAUUAGAUACCCCGGUAGUCCUAGCCUUAAACGAUGAAUGCUUGGUGUCUGGGGUUUUAUAGUCCCCGGGUGCCGUCGCUAACGCUUUAAGCAUUCCGCCUGGGGAGUAC
rnacentral:rRNA from 1 species